GACGAACGCUGGCGGCGUGCUUAACACAUGCAAGUCGAACGGAAAGGCCCUGCUUUUGUGGGGUGCUCGAGUGGCGAACGGGUGAGUAACACGUGAGUAACCUGCCCUUGACUUUGGGAUAACUUCAGGAAACUGGGGCUAAUACCGGAUAGGAGCUCCUGAUGCAUGGUGGGGGUUGGAAAGUUUCGGCGGUUGGGGAUGGACUCGCGGCUUAUCAGCUUGUUGGUGGGGUAGUGGCUUACCAAGGCUUCGACGGGUAGCCGGCCUGAGAGGGUGACCGGCCACAUUGGGACUGAGAGACGGCCCAGACUCCAACAGGAGGCAGCGGUGGGAAGUAUUGCACAGUGAGCGGGAGCCUGAUACAGCAGCGCCGCGUGCGUGAUGACGGCCUUCUGGUUGUAAACCGCUUUCGCCUGUGACGAAGCGUGAGUGACGGUAAUGAAUAAAGAAGCACCGGCUAACUACGUG
rnacentral:rRNA from 1 species